rnacentral:pre_miRNA from 1 species
AGUGGAAUAACUGGGUCAAAUUGUGGUUUCAUUCCAAAUUUUCAGAGGAAUCUCCGUACUGCUUUCCAGAGUGGUUGCCCCAAUUUCCAGUCCCAUCAGCAAU